AAGCUCGUAGUUGUAUUUCGGGAUUGGGAUAUAUCGGUCAUGCCUUUAGGGACAUGAAUCGGUGUGUGAUCAAUUCUCACCUUCUGGUGAAUUGGGAUGCUCUUGGGUGUUUCGAUGAACUAGGACAUUUACUUUGAAAAAAUUAGAGUGUUUAAAGCGGGCAUUUUUGCUUGAAUACAUUAGCAUGGAAUAAUAAAAUAGGACGAUGGUUCUAUUUUGUUGGUUUUAGGACCACGUAAUGAUUAAUAGGGAUAGUUGGG
rnacentral:rRNA from 1 species